UACAGAGGGUGCUAGCGUUGUUCGGAAUCAUUGGGCGUAAAGCGCGCGUAGGCGGCCCGGUAAGUCCGUUGUGAAAGUCAAAGGCUCAACCUUUGAACGCCGAUGGAUACUGCCGGGCUAGAGUCCGGAAGAGGCGAGUGGAAUUCCUGGUGUAGCGGUGGAAUGCGCAGAUAUCAGGAGGAACACCAAUAGCGAAGGCAGCUCGCUGGGACGGUACUGACGCUGAGGCGCGAAAGCGUGGGGAGCGAACAGG
rnacentral:rRNA from 1 species